CAGCAGCCGCGGGAACACGUAGGGUGCAAGCGUUAAUCGGAAUUACUGGGCGUAAAGCGUGCGCAGGCGGUUAUAUAAGACAGAUGUGAAAUCCCCGGGCUCAACCUGGGAACUGCAUUUGUGACUGUAUAGCUAGAGUACGGCAGAGGGGGAUGGAAUUCCGCGUGUAGCAGUGAAAUGCGUAGAUAUGCGGAGGAACACCGAUGGCGAAGGCAAUCCCCUGGGCCUGUACUGACGCUCAUGCACGAAAGCGUGGGGAGCAAACAGGAUUAGAUACCCCUGUAGUCCCUGUCUCUUAUAA
rnacentral:rRNA from 1 species